rnacentral:ribozyme from 2 species
CCCUUAAUGCAGCUUUAGCGGUGACAAGCCCGUGUAAAUGCAGAGUCAAGGG